rnacentral:rRNA from 1 species
UACGUAGGGUGCGAGCGUUGUCCGGAAUUAUUGGGCGUAAAGGGCUCGUAGGCGGUCUGUCGCGUCGGGAGUGAAAACUCAGGGCUUAACCCUGAGCCUGCUUCCGAUACGGGCAGACUAGAGGUAUGCAGGGGAGAACGGAAUUCCUGGUGUAGCGGUGAAAUGCGCAGAUAUCAGGAGGAACACCGGUGGCGAAGGCGGUUCUCUGGGCCGGUACUGACGCUGAGGAGCGAAAGCGUGGGGAGCAAACAGG